rnacentral:rRNA from 1 species
UAAGGAAUAUUGGUCAAUGGACGCAAGUCUGAACCAGCCAUGCCGCGUGAAGGAUUAAGGCCCUCUGGGUUGUAAACUUCUUUUAUAGGGGAAGAAAUGUGACGGUUCUCCGUCACUUGACGGUACCCUGGGAAUAAGCACCGGCUAACUCCGUGCCAGCAGCCGCGGUAAUACGGAGGGUGCAAGCGUUAUCCGGAUUUAUUGGGUUUAAAGGGUCCGUAGGCGGACUUAUAAGUCAGUGGUGAAAGCCUGUCGCUUAACGAUAGAACUGCCAUUGAUACUGUAAGUCUUGAGUAUAUUUGAGGUAGCUGGAAUAAGUAGUGUAGCGGUGAAAUGCAUAGAUAUUACUUAGAACACCGUUUGCGAAGGCAGGUUACCAAGAUAUAACUGACGCUGAGGGACGAAAGCGUGGGGAGCGAACA